UGGAAGCUCUUCCUCCAGGAUGGCCUGGGGGAGCAGGCAGAGGGAGGAGCCAGGGGACUGAGCUGGGCUUAGUAAGAGCCUUAGUGCCCCUAAAUCUGGGCAGUGGAUGGAUUCAGUCCCCAUGUUUCAUGGUCGCUCGUUCCCACUAUCUUCCCUUCCCCCUUUUAUAUUUCUGUGGCCCUUGCAUUGGCUUUCUCCCCUUUCCUCCCCCUUUCCUUUCUCAUCACUUCCCUCUCCUCCAAAUCUUCUUUUUGUUUUUCCUCUUUUCUCUCUCUCUCUUCUUUGUUUCCCAGAGCCUGCUGCUGCUUGGUGCUGGGUCUAGUCUGCUCUUUGACACCUGCUGUAAGGCAUUGAGCUGGCUGCCUGGAAUUCAGGGCUCGGUUGAGUGUCGAAGGAGAUGGAGGCCACCUUGCCUGCAGUGGCAGAAGAGCUUUUGAGAGAGAUAAAAAAGGCUUUCCAGGAGACGUCGCACGUGCCUGACGAGCUCCUGCUGGCGCUGAAAUUCAUAUUUGGCUCGUCUGCGGUGGCGGCCUUGGAUCUGGUUGACCAGCACUCAGUCUCCCGGGUGGUGUCUCCUAGCGGAAGGGCCGUGUACCAGGUCCUCGGGAGUUCGGGCAAAGUGUACACCUGCUACGCCGCCUGCCACUUCUGCACGUGCCCGGCGUUUGCUUUCUCCGUCCUGCGGAAGAACGACAGCCUCCUGUGUAAGCACCUCCUGGCCGUGUACCUCAGCCAGGCCGCAGGCGUGUGCCAAGAGCUCUCCGUCUCUGACCAGCACCUGGCAAGCAUCCUCCUGGAAGAGGAGGAAGGAUGAAGCCCAUGGACCACAUGCUAACAUGACCUGCCCUGCCCAUGCGUCCUCUGAGAUACAUCCACUCGUGUCGCUGACGUCCCCAAGCCGCAGGAACAGCGAGCCGGGCUCUGCGUUUUCUUCCCAAGCUGCCGUUAGGCUGGAAGUGAAGGGGCAGCCCUGGCCGGUGUACGAGAGCUGGCACUGCUGGGAGCGACCUCUUCACUAGACCCGCUAACGUGAAUGCCGGAAGAUCGACUGCGGCAGCGUCACUCGUCGCUGUAGUCUACGCAAUCCCUUGGAGUAGCUUCCCUCCCCCGUCUCUGGGGGGCUGGCCUUUUACUCGUGCGCCUGUCCAGACCCAGGCUACUGAGGGUGACCCCACAGGUAGAAACUUGUUGUUGCUACCGAGUUAGUCACAUACCUGUCCCGGGGGAGGGGGAAUGUGGAUGCAGCCCUGCCGGGGAGGUUUUUUAUAUCACAAGCUUUAAUGUCCCGGGGCAUCAAAUCGCGCCAAGAGCUGUAACUCGGAGAAUCAGUCUCGUUUCACCAAAAUGGGCAGAAAGAUUCACACCGUACUGUGCACACCAACGGGGCCUGUUCUGGAACACGGCCGAGACAUAGUUGCCCCCGGUGUGUGGCCUGUCUGCAUUUGCCUGUGCUUUUUGGUCUGCCGUUAAGCCUGUAGUCACCGGACAGUAGGCGCGUGUGUGUACCAUGCUCAUACUUCACGAGCGUUGUCAUUAUUUGCAGAACGGACUCAGCUGGGAAGGGCUUUUGGUGGCUGUGAUGUAAACGCCUACCCCUUCGGUUUUUUGAUGCCUCUGCUCAGCCAGUGUCGUUAAGCUAAUUAAGCACAUAUGCGAUAACUGUAAUUACUUAUUUGUCAUUGUCGUCAGUGACAAGACAAUGGCCACUACUUAGGUAACGAAGGAUUCGAGCAGGGCAGAGCCUGUGACCCCUCCACCCAACCGGGAGCUCCUCAGCUGCUUACGCCCAAACGCUGCUGGCAAUUAGCAGGCAGGUAAAACCUUUCUCCUGCCCCGCAGACGUGGUCACUGCUCUGUUCCUGCACUCGGCCUGGGCACAGCCAUGUGCAGGAGAGCAACCCAACGCUCCCCUGCGGCAUUCGCAGCGCCUUGUUACGCUGCCCAAAGGGAGCAGGUGGCGGGAGCUGGCGGCUGCCCCAGCGUGUUAGGAACAAGAGGGCCCGUGCUAGCGAGCGCCCCAGCCGGGGCCAGCCAGAGCGACCGAACUGUAGCAUGCGCUGCUAUCCAGCCAAGCGUGUGUUUGUUCAAGGACGCCGCUUACCCGGCGCUGCCGCUGCGCCCAGCGCGCAACAGUGCCAGGGUGUGGUUGUGCCAUGCAAAGGGCGGGGUGUGCUAGCAGGGACCAUUAUACUUACAAAUGGCCACGGGGGGUAGUAGGUGCCCCA